AACUAAUGAACUUGAAUAAGUAUAUACUUUGAAAGCAUAUAAAAGAGAUUACAAUUCUCUAUUAGUUU
rnacentral:tRNA from 1 species